CCUACGGGUGGCAGCAGUGGGGAAUAUUGCACAAUGGGCGAAAGCCUGAUGCAGCAACGCCGCGUGAAGGAAGAAGGGUUUCGGCUCGUAAACUUCUAUCAGCAGGGACGAAAGACAUGACGGUACCUGUAUAAGAAGCCCAGGCUAACUACGUGGCAGCAGCCGCGGUAAUACGGAGGGGGCAAGCGUUAUCCGGAUGUACUGGGUGUAAGGGGUGAGUAGGCGGAAUGGUAAGCCAGAGGUGAAAGCCCUGGGCUUAACCCGAGGAUUGCAUUUGGUACUAUCAAGCUAGAGUACAGGAGAGGAAAGCGGAAUUCCUAGUGUAGCGGUGAAAUGCGUAGAUAUUAGGAAGAACACCAGUGGCGAAGGCGGCUUUCUGGACUGAAACUGACGCUGAGGCACGAAAGCGUGGGGAGCGAACAGGAUUAGAUACCCUUGUAGUC
rnacentral:rRNA from 1 species